GACGAACGCUGGCGGCGUGCUUAACACAUGCAAGUCGAACGAUGAAGCCUAGCUUGCUAGGUGGAUUAGUGGCGAACGGGUGAGUAAUACGUGAGUAACCUACCUUUAACUCUGGGAUAAGCCUGGGAAACUGGGUCUAAUACCGGAUACGACCAAUCUCCGCAUGGAGUGUUGGUGGAAAGCGUUAUGUAGUGGUUAUAGAUGGGCUCACGGCCUAUCAGCUUGUUGGUGAGGUAACGGCUCACCGAGGCGACGACGGGUAGCCGGCCUGAGAGGGUGACCGGCCACACUGGGACUGAGACACGGCCCAGACUCCUACGGGAGGCAGCAGUGGGGAAUAUUGCACAAUGGGCGCAAGCCUGAUGCAGUGACGCCGCGUGAGGGAUGACGGCCUUCGGGUUGUAAACCUCUGUUAGCAGGGAAGAAGAGAAAUUGACGGUACCUGCAGAGAAAGCGCCGGCUAACUACGUGCCAGCAGCCGCGGUAAUACGUAGGGCGCGAGCGUUGUCCGGAAUUAUUGGGCGUAAAGAGCUUGUAGGCGGUUUGUCGCGUCUGCUGUGAAAGGCCGGGGCUUAACCCCGUGUAUUGCAGUGGGUACGGGCAGACUAGAGUGCAGUAGGGGAGACUGGAACUCCUGGUGUAGCGGUGGAAUGCGCAGAUAUCAGGAAGAACACCGAUGGCGAAGGCAGGUCUCUGGGCUGUAACUGACGCUGAGAAGCGAAAGCAUGGGGAGCGAACAGG
rnacentral:rRNA from 1 species